rnacentral:rRNA from 1 species
UGGGGAAUUUUGGACAAUGGGGGCAACCCUGAUCCAGCAAUGCCGCGUGUGUGAAGAAGGCCUUCGGGUUGUAAAGCACUUUUGUCCGGAAAGAAAACUUCGGGGCUAAUACCCCUGGAGGAUGACGGUACCGGAAGAAUAAGCACCGGCUAACUACGUGCCAGCAGCCGCGGUAAUACGUAGAGUGCGAGCGUUAAUCGGAAUUACUGGGCGUAAAGCGUGCGCAGGCGGUGCUGUAAGACCGAUGUGAAAUCCCCGGGCUUAACCUGGGAACUGCAUUGGUGACUGCAGCGCUGGAGUAUGGCAGAGGGGGGUGGAAUUCCACGUGUAGCAGUGAAAUGCGUAGAGAUGUGGAGGAACACCGAUGGCGAAGGCAGCCCCCUGGGCCAAUACUGACGCUCAUGCACGAAAGCGUGGGGAGCAAACAGG